rnacentral:rRNA from 1 species
UGGGGAAUUUUGGACAAUGGGGGCAACCCUGAUCCAGCAAUGCCGCGUGUGUGAAGAAGGCCUUCGGGUUGUAAAGCACUUUUGUCCGGGAAGAAAUCGCACCUGAUAAUACCGGGUGUGGAUGACGGUACCGGAAGAAUAAGGACCGGCUAACUACGUGCCAGCAGCCGCGGUAAUACGUAGGGUCCAAGCGUUAAUCGGAAUUACUGGGCGUAAAGCGUGCGCAGGCGGUUGUGCAAGACCGAUGUGAAAUCCCCGGGCUUAACCUGGGAAUUGCAUUGGUGACUGCACGGCUAGAGUGUGUCAGAGGGGGGUAGAAUUCCACGUGUAGCAGUGAAAUGCGUAGAGAUGUGGAGGAAUACCGAUGCGAAGGCAGCCCCCUGGGAUAACACUGACGCUCAUGCACGAAAGCGUGGGGAGCAAACAGG